rnacentral:lncRNA from 1 species
CCAAAUCCUACAUUGAGGCAACCUAACUAAUUAAAUAAGAGUGUGUUUAGCUUCUCCCCAUUGAGGCAACCUAACUAAUUAUUUUCCAUUGAGGCAACCAAAUAAGAGUGUGUUUAGGAGACACGAAAUUUCUGCGUGAAGCACAUAACACUACCAUAAAAACCAAAUUGGAAAACACCACCAUGUUUUCUAACUAGAAACCCAACAAAAUUAGAUUAAUAGACUCAAAUGUUAUUUACUCACUUGCCCUAAUCUUUAUUCACAUAGUUGUUUGUUCAUUAAACAGAAGAAGACACAUAUUAGCUAGGAAUAAAUAUGGUUUGUGCUUCAUUUAUUCGUAGCUUCUGUUGUCUUGCAAUGAAUGCCUCCACGGUGCGACGAAAUUCGUCGCUGCUCAUUCCAUCUUCAGGAUAUAAACUCCAUUUUUUCUCUUUAUCAACUUCAAUGUUUUUCCUCUUACUCUUAUCAUUAUCACUCUCACACCUUUGCAACACUCUUUGAUCCUUCGCAUCAUCACUAUUCACACCCCUCACCAACUCAAUUUCCGAUUGACACCUCCUAUAUCCCUUCACUUCCAAACCCAUCUCUGUUUCUAUCUCCUGUUUCUCUUCCAACUUCAUUUUGUUAUCAUCUUCACUCUUUAUACUCUCUUUUUGAGAUAAUUUCACCAUGCAUCCAUCGUUUAUUCUACAACCCUUUACGUUGCUCUCAACUUUUACGCUGGGUUUUUUCUGAUCAAAACCUUGGAUUUUCUGAUACAUGUUGCUAUUCUUGAGAAACUCGAGAUAAAGAUCAUGUUCUGAACUUCUUUUUGCAGAAUCAUGUUGUGAGAAGUGACCAGAUUGAGCAAUGAGUGUGAUGAUGAUAAUGUUUCCAACAAGAAAAACAAAAGCAGGACUAACCGCGAAACCUCGAAAAUAUUCGCUUGAGUUCUUCAAAGCCAAUGGUAGUUGUUGGAAUGAAAGCCUUGAAAUCAAAAUCAACACAACACACAUCUCUGCAUACCGAAAUUUUUUUGCAAUCAUUCUAAGAUGACGAUGUUUUUGAACUUUGUUGGAUUUCUCUGCUUUGUGUUUGUGUAAAUUGAUUGUACCCAUUUUUUCUUAAUAAAAGAGCAAUGAAACAGAACAGGUUCUGUUUUUGUUUUCUUACUCUGUUAUGUUUUUAAAUAAAGGGAACUGAAAAUUUGUGCACAUAUAAAAUAUAUGUGAAAACAUAUACCAAUAGAGAAACUGCAGCUAUAAUAGACACUGCAGUAGUAUUUAGGUUUAGAAGCAUGGAAAUUGAGUGAAUGUUUU